rnacentral:rRNA from 1 species
GAUGAACGCUGGCGGCGUGCUUAACACAUGCAAGUCGAACGGAAAGGCCAGUGCUUGCACUGGUACUCGAGUGGCGAACGGGUGAGUAACACGUGGGUGAUCUGCCCUGCACUUCGGGAUAAGCCUGGGAAACUGGGUCUAAUACCGGAUAGGACAAUGGUUUGGACGCCGUUGUGGAAAGUUUUUUCGGUGUGGGAUGAGCUCGCGGCCUAUCAGCUUGUUGGUGGGGUAAUGGCCUACCAAGGCGUCGACGGGUAGCCGGCCUGCGAGGGUGUACGGCCACAUUGGGACUGAGAGACGGCCCAGACUCCUACGGGAGGCAGCAGUGGGGAAUAUUGCACAAUGGGCGCAAGCCUGAUGCAGCGACGCCGCGGGGGGGAUGACGGCCUUCGGGUUGUAAACUCCUUUCGCUAGGGACGAAGCGUAUUUGUGACGGUACCUGGAGAAGAAGCACCGGCUAACUACGUG